CGGGACAGCUUCUGGAAAUGUUCCUCCUGUUGACCGUUUUGAAGAAUCUGAAUAUCUCAAGCCCAUUUCAGUAUCUCGAGGGUCGCUUCCAAUCCAAAGCUCUCCGCCUGAUCGCGACGUCAGCGUCGUGUGUACAGACUAUUUUCUACAUGUGCAUCGUUCUGGUUGGACAAGGGCUCGCGUUGGGUGCUG